GACACAUUGACCCUUCGGGUGAUUUGUUGGGCGUCGAGCGGCGGACGGGUGAGUAAUGCCUGGGAAAUUGCCCUGAUGUGGGGGAUAACCAUUGGAAACGAUGGCUAAUACCGCAUAACGUCUACGGACCAAAGAGGGGGACCUUCGGGCCUCUCGCUUCAGGAUAUGCCCAGGUGGGAUUAGCUAGUUGGUGAGGUAAUGGCUCACCAAGGCGACGAUCCCUAGCUGGUCUGAGAGGAUGAUCAGCCACACUGGAACUGAGACACGGUCCAGACUCCUACGGGAGGCAGCAGUGGGGAAUAUUGCACAAUGGGCGCAAGCCUGAUGCAGCCAUGCCGCGUGUAUGAAGAAGGCCUUCGGGUUGUANAGUACUUUCAGUCGUGAGGAAGGNGUUGAAGUUAAUAGCUUCAUCGUUUGACGUUNGCGACAGAAGAAGCACCGGCUAANUCCGNGCCAGCAGCCGCGGNAAUACGGAGGGUGCGAGCGNUAAUCGGAAUUACUGGNCGUANAGCGCAUGCAGGUGGUUUGUUAAGUCNGAUGUGANAGCCCGGNGCUCAACCUCGGAANCCGCAUUUUGAAACUG
rnacentral:rRNA from 1 species